UAAUACGGAGGAUCCGAGCGUUAUCCGGAUUUAUUGGGUUUAAAGGGAGCGUAGGUGGAUAGUUAAGUCAGUUGUGAAAGUUUGCGGCUCAACCGUAAAAUUGCAGUUGAUACUGGCUAUCUUGAGUACAGUAGAGGUGGGCGGAAUUCGUGGUGUAGCGGUGAAAUGCUUAGAUAUCACGAAGAACUCCGAUUGCGUAGGCAGCUCACUAGACUGUUACUGACACUGAGGCUCGAAAGUGUGGGUAUCAAACAGG
rnacentral:rRNA from 1 species